rnacentral:rRNA from 1 species
AGUCGAACGUGAAAGCACUUCGGUGUGAGUAGAGUGGCGGACGGGUGAGUAACGCGUGGGAAUCUACCCAGUAGUGGGGGACAACUACCGGAAACGGUAGCUAAUACCGCAUACGCCCUAUGGGGGAAAGGCUUCGGCCGCUAUUGGAUGAGCCCGCGUCAGAUUAGCUAGUUGGUAGGGUAAAGGCCUACCAAGGCAACGAUCUGUAGCUGGUCUGAGAGGACGAACAGCCACACUGGGACUGAGACACGGCCCAGACUCCUACGGGAGGCAGCAGUGGGGAAUAUUGGACAAUGGGCGAAAGCCUGAUCCAGCAAUGCCGCGUGUGUGAAGAAGGCCUGCGGGUUGUAAAGCGCUUUCAGUUGGGAAGAUGAUGACGUUACCAACAGAAGAAGCACCGGCUAAAUCCGUGCCAGCAGCCGCGGUAAUACGGAUGGUGCGAGCGUUAAUCGGAAUUACUGGGCGUAAAGCGCGCGUAGGCGGCUAAGUCAGUCAGAAGUGAAAGCCCCGGGCUCAACCUGGGAAUUGCUUUUGAUACUGCUUAGCUAGAGUUUGGUAGAGGAUAGUGGAAUUUCAGGUGUAGCGGUGAAAUGCGUAGAUAUCUGAAGGAACAUCAGUGGCGAAGGCGACUGUCUGGACCAAAACUGACGCUGAGGUGCGAAAGCGUGGGUAGCAAACAGGAUUAGAUACCCUGGUAGUCCACGCCGUAAACGAUGUCAACUAGCCGUCGGGUCUAUUUACAGACUUGGUGGCGCAGCUAACGCGAUAAGUUGACCGCCUGGGGAGUACGGCCGCAAGGUUAAAACUCAAAGGAA